GUAACGAUGACAACCAGCGAUUAGUCGGUGUUAAUAUACGACCCGACUAGCAGCUUCCGGGAAACCAAAGUUUUUCGUUUCCGGGGGAAGUAUGGUUGCAAAGCUGAAACUUAAAGGAAUUGACGGAAGGGCACCACCAGGAGUGGAGCCUGCGGCUUAAUUUGACUCAACACGGGAAAACUCACCCGGCCCGGACACCGUAAGGAUUGACAGGCUGAGAGCUCUCUCUUAAUUCGGUGGGUGGUGGUGCAUGGCCGUUCUUAGUUGGUGGAGCGAUUUGUCUGGUUAAUUCCGAUAACGAACGAGACUCUGGCCUAUUAAAUAGUCGGUAUAUCCAGAAAAGUUUACCGUACUUCUUAGAGGGACAAACGGCGUCUAGCCGCGUGAAAUAGAGCAAUAACAGGUCUGUGAUGCCCUUAGAUGUCCGGGGCUGCACGCGCGCUACACUGAAAGAAUCAGUAUGCGCUUUAACCUAGUCCGGAAGGAUUGGGUAACCCGAGCAAAUUCUUUCGUGCUUGGGAUAGGGAAUUGCAAUUAUUUCCCUUAAACGAGGAACUCCCAGUAAAUGCGGGUCAUAAGCUCGCGUUGAUUACGUCCCUGCCCUUUGUACACACCGCCCGUCGCUACUACCGAUUGGAUGACUUAGUGAGGUCUUAGGACCGACGUAAAGGAGCUUUCGCGAGUUCUUUUUCGUUGGAAAUUUGAUCGAACUACGUUAUCUAGAGGAAGUAAAAGUCGUAACAA
rnacentral:rRNA from 1 species